rnacentral:rRNA from 1 species
GAUGAACGCUGGCGGCGUGCCUAAUACAUGCAAGUCGAGCGAACAGACGAGGAGCUUGCUCCUCUGACGUUAGCGGCGGACGGGUGAGUAACACGUGGAUAACCUACCUAUAAGACUGGGAUAACUUCGGGAAACCGGAGCUAAUACCGGAUAAUAUAUUGAACCGCAUGGUUCAAUAGUGAAAGACGGUUUUGCUGUCACUUAUAGAUGGAUCCGCGUCGCAUUAGCUAGUUGGUAAGGUAACGGCUUACCAAGGCGACGAUGCGUAGCCGACCUGAGAGGGUGAGCAGCCACCCUGGAACUGUGACACGCCCCAGACGCCUACGGGAGGCAGCAGUAGGGAAUCUUCCGCAAUGGGCGAAAGCCUGACGGAGCAACGCCGCGUGAGUGAUGAAGGUCUUCGGAUCGUAAAACUCUGUUAUUAGGGAAGAACAAAUGUGUAAGUAACUAUGCACGUCUUGACGGUACCUAAUCAGAAAGCCACGGCUAACUACGUG